rnacentral:rRNA from 1 species
CCUGGUAGCGGGGGAGUAACUAUUGGAAACGAUAGCUAAUACCGCAUAAUAUUGAUUAUUUGCAUGAUAAUUGAUUGAAAGAUGCUAUUGCAUCACUACCAGAUGGACCUGCGUUGUAUUAGCUAGUAGGUGAGGUAACGGCUCACCUAGGCGACGAUACAUAGCCGACCUGAGAGGGUGAUCGGCCACACUGGGACUGAGACACGGCCCAG